UCCUACGGGAGGCAGCAGUGGGGAAUAUUGGACAAUGGGGGGAACCCUGAUCCAGCCAUGCCGCGUGUGUGAAGAAGGCCCUCGGGUUGUAAAGCACUUUCAGCGAGGGAGAACGCCUAGCGGUUAAUACCCGCUAGGAAAGACAUCACUCGCAGAAGAAGCACCGGCUAACUCCGUGCCAGCAGCCGCGGUAAUACGGAGGGUGCAAGCGUUAAUCGGAAUUACUGGGCGUAAAGCGCGCGUAGGUGGCUUGAUAAGCCGGUUGUGAAAGCCCCGGGCUCAACCUGGGAACGGCAUCCGGAACUGUCAAGCUAGAGUGCAGGAGAGGAAGGUAGAAUUCCCGGUGUAGCGGUGAAAUGCGUAGAGAUCGGGAGGAAUACCAGUGGCGAAGGCGGCCUUCUGGACUGACACUGACACUGAGGUGCGAAAGCGUGGGUAGCAAACAGGAUUAGAUACCCUGGUAGUCCACGCCGUAAACGAUGUCGACCAGCCGUUGGGUGCCUAGCGCACUUUGUGGCGAAGUUAACGCGAUAAGUCGACCGCCUGGGGAGUACGGCCGCAAGGUUAAAACUCAAAUGAAUUGACGG
rnacentral:rRNA from 1 species